CCUACGGGUGGCUGCAGUGGGGAAUAUUGGACAAUGGGGGGAACCCUGAUCCAGCCAUGCCGCGUGUGUGAAGAAGGCCCUCGGGUUGUAAAGCACUUUCAGUGAGGAAGAACGCCUGGUGGUUAAUACCCAUCAGGAAAGACAUCACUCACAGAAGAAGCACCGGCUAACUCCGUGCCAGCAGCCGCGGUAAUACGGAGGGUGCGAGCGUUAAUCGGAAUUGCUGGGCGUAAAGCGCGCGUAGGUGGCUUGAUAAGCCGGUUGUGAAAGCCCCGGGCUCAACCUGGGAACGGCAUCCGGAACUGUCAAGCUAGAGUGCAGGAGAGGAAGGUAGAAUUCCCGGUGUAGCGGUGAAAUGCGUAGAGGUCGGGAGGAAUACCAGUGGCGAAGGCGGCCUUCUGGACUGACACUGACACUGAGGUGCGAAAGCGUGGGUAGCAAACAGGAUUAGAUACCCUGGUAGUC
rnacentral:rRNA from 1 species